rnacentral:rRNA from 1 species
AGGAAAGUAGGGGAUCGCAAGACCUUGCGCUUUUGGAGCGGCCGAUGUCUGAUUAGCUAGUUGGUGAGGUAAAGGCUUACCAAGGUUUCGAUCAGUAGCUGGUCUGAGAGGACGACCAGCCACACUGGGACUGAGACACGGCCCAGACUCCUACGGGAGGCAGCAGUGGGGAAUUUUGGACAAUGGGGGCAACCCUGAUCCAGCCAUGCCGCGUGAGUGAAGAAGGCCUUCGGGUUGUAAAGCUCUUUCAGCCGGAACGAAAAGGUUACGGUUAAUACCCGUGACUAAUGACGGUACCGGAAGAAGAAGCACCGGCUAACUACGUGCCAGCAGCCGCGGUAAUACGUAGGGUGCGAGCGUUAAUCGGAAUUACUGGGCGUAAAGCGUGCGCAGGCGGUUUUGUAAGUCAGAUGUGAAAUCCCCGGGCUUAACCNUGGGAACUGCGUUUGAAACUACAAGGCU